rnacentral:lncRNA from 1 species
UUGUAUUCUUUCAGUGCACUUUAAAACUCUCAGCUCUUGGGAAUGAUGUUUCCAUGAGGGUUGAAUGUAAUUACAAAAUAAUAUAGGUACUCUGUCUUAUUUUCUGUGAGUGAUACUUCAGUCCUCGCUGUUGUUACUGCAUGUGUUUAUUUUGGGGCUCUUCCUUCAGUGUACUUGAUGCAAGGUAUUUGCAAAUAUGAGCCUUUGGGCUUUAAAUGUGCUGCUUCUUCUGUUUCUUAUUCACUACAGAUUAUGUAUAAUUGAUGACCUGCAUUUACAGACAUGGGUGGUAUACAGAUGUAAAUGUUAUUAUAGCUUUUAUAUUUUAUGUUCUCUUUGAAAGAUCAUUUUGUCUUUGAAUAAUACUCCUGUUCAGAUUUUGGGGGGUUUAUCUCUAAAAUAGAAUAUGAAAUGGAUAUUGCACAUCGUAUAUUUCUUAAAAGUAAUUCGGAAUUUUAGGGUAUGGGAUUGGUGGUGACUGAUACACUGCCUGGAUGAGAUAUAUCCCUUUGAAAAUAACAGCGCCAGUACAUGCCUGCAUCUGUCUAACCUCAUAAUUCACUUUCACAUUGGGUUAUGGAUGUCUGCAUUCAGUGAGUCUAUCUUCCCUUUAGGUAUUAUUUCAGCCCUUUGAGAUAAUAAGGAAAGUUUAAUUGCGUUGUUAAUUGAUUUUUUGCACAACAUUAUUACCUUGAUUGAUUGCAGAGUUGAUGAAAAUGUUAGACACAGGCAGUGUAAAGUAUCAGCCCAGUAAGGAGUGGGAGCCUUGUGGAGAAUAGAUAACCUUGAUGUUAAGAGCUAUAUCCUUCAGAUAUGUCUUCCCUUGACAUAUUGAUGGCCCUUGAAAAGGGAAAAGCUGAUUGUAUGCAGAAUGCAAUCAUUAAACCCACUUCAGCUGGCUGUUGAUUAAUUUGUUUUUUCCUGAAGGAUCUAGUUAAAGAGAAGGCCUCACUAGUAUCAACAGCAACCAUUUUCCAGCUUCAGAUUAUUCUUAACCCUCUCCUAGAAGAAAGAAAAAUGAUACUGUCUUGGUUUAGACAGGCAAAUUGUCUGAAAACAUUCAGUCCAACUGCAAUUUGGGGAUUAUAACACUCACUUUGCCCCUUUAACUACUGCUUCCUUGACGACCUCUCCUCCUCCUGCCUUCAGUAUUCAGCUGCACUCCAGCCACAGCUAGCAGAAAGCCACGUUUGAUGUUUUCUGAGUAGGGUGAGCGCCUGUUCUCAGCAGAGAUGCCAACAGGGAAGUCAAGCUUGUUUUAUGCAAAGACUGAAGUAUUUCAGUAGCAUAUAGCUGCUUCCCAGGAGCCUCUCUGAAAGGACCAGGGGGUUUGCUGCACACACGCAUCUUGGGAAAAUGCCGCUACAUUUACUAUGGAAAACAUUCUGAAGGCAACAGAUUCAUCCGAGACGACCAGCUAUAAAACACUGCACUCUUUCGUGCCACUUCAGUCACUCCACACAAGAAGCACAAAUAGAAUCUAAAUUUUAAGCAUGUAACUAAAGUCCUCUAGUGCCUUCUGCUGACUUUGCCAGGCCUGUCAAGAUCAUCCUUCCAUCUCAGUCUGAGUAGUCACAUAGAGAUUGACAUGAUUGCCUUUAAGCAGGUCCCAUCCACCAGCGUGACAGACAGCUGUGGCAGAGCACCCGGCCUGACAGGAGGAGCAUGCUGAUGGAUUGCCUGGUCCAGCUGCUGCACGCAGGAGAGCUGGGGUCACACCUGGGCCUUCACUGAGCAUGCUCUGUUGGCUGGCACCGCACAAAAGCAGCGUGUUUAUCUCCUGCUCGCCUGUUGAGGGAGAGUGGCUGGUGAUAUCAAAGUGUUUAUAAAAGAGAAGGGCUAUAAUUUCAGAUGAAAAACCCCUUAUCUGUUCUAAGUUUUUUUUUUUUUCUUGUGAAUUAAGUGCUUUUGUUUCUGUCAUCUCCUAUAUGCUCACACACAUGCUCUUCAUAGGGUGUUCUUGGUUUUUCCACAAAUGAGCCUGUAUGAAUUAUUCUUUCUUUCAACAGGAAAAGAUGUAUCCAGAAAAUAUUUCAUCAAUUUUUGCUUAUAAGCAAAGGAAAAAAGGUUUGAACAGUUUUACAGGCAAACAAAAUUUUCUAAUUGUUAAAUAACAUCUCACAUUAAUUUACCUUGAUCUUCAGAAGAGGGGUCAUUUUUAAUACUGUGUUAGUAACAUAGGUUCUCUGUGAAGUUGGAAAGGCACUCAGUUAUGACAUUGAUAGUGUAUAUUAUUCCUGGUUUAUUACACAAUAUAUAUUUUACUUGUGUAGAGUACAUUUAGAAUUAAACACUUAAAUUUGGAAGGGAAAAAGGGCUUAAAAAGAGGGAUGUAAAAUAAAAUUGCCACCAGAUAGGUAUGAUUACUCAGGAGGGAAAAAUGUCAAUAAAAGUGACUGACGGAAUUAACAUAAUUAACAGCUUUACUAAUAUGUUCUGGAGGAAAGUUCUGUUUAAUCCCAUUUGAAGCCUACAUAAGAAAGGCUACUCUGAAGUUUUCAGUGAAAAACCAACAAUACAUAGAGUAUUUCUUGCUUCUCUAAGAAAUGGAUUGAGAUACUUAGAAUCAUGAACAUCUUUCUGUGGAAAAAAAAUCCUAAUACUUAAUAAAUAUAUCAUGUUAAGUGCUGCUUGUUACAGUGUGAUUGGCAUAGG